UACGAAGGGGGCUAGCGUUGCUCGGAAUCACUGGGCGUAAAGCGCACGUAGGCGGAUCUUUAAGUCAGGGGUGAAAUCCUGGAGCCCAACUCCAGAACUGCCUUUGAUACUGGGGAUCUCGAGUCCGGAAGAGGUAAGUGGAACUCCGAGUGUAGAGGUGAAAUUCGUAGAUAUUCGGAAGAACACCAGUGGCGAAGGCGGCUUACUGGUCCGGUACUGACGCUGAGGUGCGAAAGCGUGGGGAGCAAACAGG
rnacentral:rRNA from 1 species